GCGAUCCAUUUUUAAUUGGCCCGCAGCAGAUUCCAAAAAUAUACCAGAAUAAGGCCCGCACAUGAAACUGGAGGUAUUGCAUCUUUUGGUAUGCUGUAUGCGCCCCCAGCACCUCUGGGUGCUACAGGCAGAUUCAGUCCAGUGAAAGAUUAGAAGAGGCAAAUAAACACGAUUGGUAAUGUUCGGCCCUGACUUAUCCUUUAUCGGCAGCUCUGGGUGAUUCAGUGCUAUUUGCUCAAUGACAGCGACUGCCACUGCUGAUCGUGGGGGGAGUGUUUUGCUUUUAGGAGGAGCCUACAUCGUACGGGGCCCCGUCGGGACAUUUGGUUUGGUUGGUGAGCACGCAUGUCACUCCCAGAAGCUGCAUUCCACCCAGCACCGGCCCAGACACUACGGGACUGACUGAAGAGUCUCGAUGGGAGUGGUUUGUAGAAUUGUAAUGAGAUUGGACAAUCUGAAUUCGUAUUGCUGAACACUGCGUACACAUGAUUUUAUUCAGUCCCUGAAGCAAAGCUCAUAGAAGAUUUCUGAAGGUGAACUUGUGGAACAGUACUUACCUCCGGUCGCCACAGUAAUUUCACGUAGAAAAUGGCCGUAAAAUGGAAAAUCAAAGGACAGGUUCACUCUCUGCAAAGUACAAUGCCAGGGAAGAAAAUCAUUUUUUUGUAAAAAAAAAAAUAAAAAACAAAAUGUGA